GGCCUCGUAGUUCAGUUGCAUAGAACACCGCACUCCUAAGGCGGGUGUCGCAGGUUGGAAUCCUGUCGAGGCCACCA
rnacentral:tRNA from 1 species